UACGUAGGGAGCAAGCGUUGUCCGGAAUCAUUGGGCGUAAAGCGCGCGUAGGCGGCCUCAUAAGUCCGUUGUGAAAGUCAAAGGCUCAACCUUUGAAAGCCGAUGGAUACUGUGAGGCUAGAGUCCGGAAGAGGCGAGUGGAAUUCCUGGUGUAGCGGUGGAAUGCGCAGAUAUCAGGAGGAACACCAAUAGCGAAGGCAGCUCGCUGGGACGGUACUGACACUGAGGCGCGAAAGCGUGGGGAGCGAACAGG
rnacentral:rRNA from 1 species